rnacentral:rRNA from 1 species
GAUGAACGCUAGCGAUAGGCUUAACACAUGCAAGUCGAGGGGCAGCAUGGUCUUAGCUUGCUAAGACUGAUGGCGACCGGCGCACGGGUGCGUAACGCGUAUGCAACUUGCCUCACAGAGGGGGAUAACCCGUCGAAAGACGGACUAAUACCGCGUACACUUGGGAUAGGGCAUCCUGACCCAAGGAAAUGAACUUCGCUGUGAGAUAGGCAUGCGUCCCAUUAGCUAGUUGGUGAGGUAACGGCUCACCAAGGCGACGAUGGGUAGGGGAACUGAGAGGUUGAACCCCCACACUGGUACUGAGACACGGACCAGACUCCUACGGGAGGCAGCAGUGAGGAAUAUUGGUCAAUGGGCGAGAGCCUGAACCAGCCAAGUCGCGUGAAGGAUGACUGUCUUAUGGAUUGUAAACUUCUUUUAUACGGGAAUAACAAGAGUCACGUGUGGCUCCCUGCAUGUACCGUAUGAAUAAGCAUCGGCUAACUCCGUG